rnacentral:hammerhead_ribozyme from 1 species
UGGCGAAACACCUUCGGAAGGAGGUGUCGGGGCGGAGUGGUGUCCGCCUCCUGAUGAUGCCAGCCGCAU